rnacentral:rRNA from 1 species
AACGCGAAGAACCUUACCCACGUUUGACAUGUCUCGUUUGGUCGCCAGAGAUGCCUUCCUUCAGUUCGGCUGGCGAGAACACAGGUGCUGCAUGGCUGUCGUCAGCUCGUGUCGUGAGAUGUUGGGUUAAGUCCCGCAACGAGCGCAACCCUCGCUACUAGUUGCGACCAGGUUAAGCUGGGCACUCUAGUGGAACUGCCGGUGGCAAGCCGGAGGAAGGUGGGGAUGACGUCAAGUCCUCCCCCCCUUCCGCGUGGGGCUACACACAUUCCCAAUGGUGGCGACAGCGGGAUAAUCCCAAAAAGCCAUCUCAGUUCGGAUUGGCCUCUGCAACUCGCGGGCAUGAAGUGGAAUCGCUAGUAAUCGCGGAUCAGCAUGC